rnacentral:rRNA from 1 species
AAAGCUUUUGCGGUUUGGGAUGGGCCUGCGUCCUAUCAGGUAGUUGGUGAGGUAAAUGCUCACCAAGCCUAUGACGGGUAGCUGGUCUGAGAGGAUGGUCAGCCAGACUGGGACUGCGACACGGCCCAGACUCCUACGGGAGGCAGCAACUAGGAAUUGUGCGCAAUGGACGAAAGUCUGACGCCGCGACAUCGCGUGGAGGAUGAAGGUCUUCGGAUUGUAAACUCCUUUUCUUACCGAACAAGUUCUGAGUGUAGGUAAGGAAUAAGUGCCUGCUAACCACGUGCCAGAAGCAUCGGUAAUACGUGGGGCACGAGCGUUAUCCGGAUUUACUGGGCGUAAAGAGAAGCGUAGGCGGCUCGAUAAGUUUGGUGUUAAAUCUUCCGGCUCAACCGGAAACAAGCACCGAAAACUAUCGAGAUUGAGUCGAGUAGGGAAGAGGGGAAUUCCUGGUGGAGCGGUUAAAUGCGUAGAUAUCAGGAGGAAUACCAAGGGCGAAGGCACCUCUUUGGACUCGUACUGACGCUGAGGCUCGAAAGCGUGGGUAGCAAAACGGAUUAGAUACCCGUGUAGUCCACGCCGUAAACGAUCCCUGUUAGAUGUAUG